rnacentral:hammerhead_ribozyme from 1 species
CCACUACUGAGGAGUCCCAUAGUAGGACGAAACGACCGUCCAAUGC